rnacentral:snRNA from 14 species
GUGCUCGCUUUGGCAGCACACAUACUAAAGUUGGAACGAUACAGAGAAGACUAGCAUGGCCCCUGCACAAGGAUGACACGCAAAUUCAUGAAGGUUCCAUAUUUUU